AACCAACAGGGAUUGCCUCAGUAACGGCGAGUGAAGCGGCAAGAGCUCAAAUUUGAAAGCGGAUUUUUUAAUUCGCGUUGUAAUUUGGAGGCCUGUGUCAACCAAAUGUACUCAAGUCCUUUGGAACAAGGCGCCAUUGAGGGUGAUAGCCCCGUGGAGUGCAAUGGUGAUUACGGCAUGGCGCCAACGAGUCGAGUUGUUUGGGAAUGCAGCUCAAAGUGGGUGGUAAACUCCAUCUAAAGCUAAAUACCGGCGAGAGACCGAUAGCGAACAAGUACAGUAAUGGAAAGAUGAAAAGCACUUUGAAAAGAGAGUGAAACAGUACGUGAAAUUGUUGAAAGGGAAGGGCUUGCAAGCAGACACGGAUUACCGGGCCAGCAUCGGUGGAGGCAGAAUCAAGAAGAAAAAAGAAAUGUGGCAAGAAUUUUCUUGUGUUAUAGUCUUUUUUGAUGGUUCUGCUUCCUCCGAGGCCAGCGAUUCAUGGAUGUUGGCGUAAUGGUUGCAAGCCGCCCGUCUUGAAACA
rnacentral:rRNA from 1 species